UGAGGAAUAUUGGUCAAUGGGCGAGAGCCUGAACCAGCCAAGUAGCGUGAAGGAUGACUGCCCUAUGGGUUGUAAACUUCUUUUAUAAAGGGAAUAAAAGUCGGGUAUGGAUACCCGUUUGCUAUGUACUUUAUGAAUAAGG
rnacentral:rRNA from 1 species